UUUCUCCCUAAUUGAGCCACGUAGCUGUCACAACAUUGGAGAACUGUCUGUUUAUAUUUCUUAUAUAUCAAACUGAAACUUAGUAGUAAACCUAGUAUACUGCUACAUAAUCUUUUUAUUUUGUGUAGCAAGAAUGGAUUUUGUCAACAGUCUACUGCAGAGGAUUGACACCAGACAGAAGAGACACCAGCACAGCUCCUGGAACCCCUUUUCCUUGAAUCACUUGAUCAAGAUUUCCCUAAUCAGGGAAUGGCGAGCCACUCAAUUGCAUACAGAAGAUUUGAACAUGUCCCUCAGGAUAUCCGCCUAUGCGGCAGGACUGACACAACUUGUCAUGGAAGGAAACCGAGAUGAGAUUAACAUGGAAUUAAGGAUUGAAGAAAUUGUUGAAAUUGGGAGCACUGAUCUGUCAUCAGGACACACAAGUGGUAGUGAAUAUGUUUCAUCCAGUGGAAGUUCUGACUCUGAUGCCAUCUAUAUGGACUCUGACAGCACUUGUGAAGCAAAAGACUAAGAAAAAGCCCAAAAGUCCAUAAAUGAAGAUGGUAGGUCAGACAAUGUAAAAGUGAAUGUUAAAAAGUGCACAAAAAAAGAAGGAGGGAAGAGAGAGUGAGAUAAGAAAAACUUUUUUGUAUACUGUGGUACAGAGAAAAGCAAACUGGGAAGACAUCUCGAGAGAAAAUAUGCAAAAGAAACUGAAGUAGAACAAGCAUUAUCAAAAACUAAGGGGACAAAGGCAUGACAGAUUACUUGGACAACUACGAAAUAAAGGGAAUUUCCACUAUAGUACCGAAAUCAAGACUAUCUGCUAUGAUAGUAUUGCGAUGGGUUUUUUAAAAGAAAGGAAUUGUGAAAAGCAUAACCUAGUCUUUUCUGCAUUUUUGAAAAAGACAACAUUUCAAGGAAACCGAAGAGAGUCCAAGCUGUAGCACCUCGAAGUACACCAUGUAAACCUGCCGUGUCUGAAGGGUGUAAAUGCAUCAUUCUGAGCAUGCAUCAAGAUGACCUCUCUAAUCAGGUGAAGUCAGACACUCUCAUCUAUAAAUAUGAAGAAAUGAUGUUUGAGCUCCAUGGACAGGACAAAUCGCAGCACAAUUACAUCAGUCAGAAAAUGCGGGAGUUGGGGAGGUUUAUGCUGGCAGUAAAGAAGCUUAACCCUGCUGUACAACGUCUAGUGGAUGUUUUGUGUGCCAACAAGAUUUCAGCUAGCAGUAUCGGCAGCAAUGGAAGCAAGUGGGUUUGAUCCAUAAAAAACAGAUGAGACACCCCAUCUUUAGCUUGUAAAAUUGGGGACACCCUCAAGAAAGUCUGUGAAAUUGUGAUAGGCGAGAGUCUGAUCAAGGAAGACCGUGAGGCAGGACAGAAGGCCAAGAAUUUCAUCAGGUUGCUUCACUCUGACUGGAACACAUUUGUUUCAAAACGAGCUAGUACCAACCUUGAACAAAACAAAUGGAACAAAGCUGAUGUUCUUCCACCGACUGAAGAUGAUGUCAGGUUGCACAAACACCUCAAAAUUUUGGAAGAUCAGUCAAAAGAACAAUUAACCAAGAGCUCAGAUCCUGUGGCAUGGAGAAAUCUUUCAGAAAGUGUUCUAGCGCAAAUAAUAUUGUUUAACAGGAGACGAGAAGGUGAAGCUGGAAAGCUGUUCGUAGAAACAUACCAGAAAUGAAACACAGCUCCACUGAAUCCUGAGGUCUUGCAGAGUUUAUCCAAGCUGGAACAAGAUUUUGCCACCAUUGCCCCAAAUAUACACAAAUCUGAUACGUCCAUGAAUCAAUGAAACACUAUUGGUGUUUCUAUAACACCUCAGUACAAGCAGAAAACACAAAUUUUUACCCUCUCCAAGUUACUGAAGGUGCCAGAAUCCCAUUCAGAUACUGAUAUUUAGAGCAGUAAAUGAUGUACUGUAGUUACUGUUGCAGCCCAACUAUGUAUUAUUCGAAUUCCUUAUAAAGUCCUUUUCUACUACUUCAAAAGUGUAUGUCAAUUACGUUUGGACAGCUAAAGUCCAGAUUUAUGUCUAAACCAUCUCUGAAUCAUUCCACAAUGGACUUGAUAUUGUAGUGGCUUGUGGAGGGAGUUUUGCACAAUGUGAAUGUACUACAUCAGGAAGGUAUGCUAAGAUUGUAGGUAGACCAGUGAGAAGAUACAAUAAGAGCUUAAUUGAAGGUGGAGUAGGGAGGGCCAUGUGACUCUGGACAAUUUAAUUUUAGUGUACGGUUAAACACAUUUUUUCCGGGUCAUCUUAUUCAGCCUGUGGAAAAGAAAAAAUCCUUAAUUAAAACUUGAGCAAAGGAGAAUAUUAAACAUUUAAUGCUUUAUUCAACUACUUACUUCUUUCUUUCUCCAUUUGCUUAAUUUCCAUCUCCAGUUUUCUCAUUUUCAGUCUGGUCUGCUUUCCUCAGUUCAAUUUCUUGGGCCAAAUAUUUUUUAGAAAUGUCUUGAACAUCUGUGUCCUUUAACAGAAAUAAGCACAAGGUAUGCUAUGUUUGUGGUUAAAUGUACAAGUACAAUUCACCUGUUCAUCCUUUACACAUGAAACUCUGCUUGGGUUCAUGAGGUGCACAAACACUGAAGAUUAGUGUUAACAAUCCGUACAUAUGGCCCAGAGAACAC
ensembl:lncRNA